rnacentral:rRNA from 1 species
ACGGAGGGUGCAAGCGUUAAUCGGAAUUACUGGGCGUAAAGCGUGCGUAGGUGGUUCGUUAAGUCCGUUGUGAAAGCCCCGAGCUCAACUUGGGAAUUGCAGUGGAUACUGGCGAGCUGGAGUGCGGUAGAGGAAGGUGGAAUUCCCGGUGUAGCGGUGAAAUGCGUAGAGAUCGGGAGGAACACCAGUGGCGAAGGCGGGUCUCUGGGCAUCUCCUGACGCUGUGGCGCGAAAGCGUGGGGAGCAAACGGGA